rnacentral:rRNA from 12 species
GCCGCGGUAAUACGGAGGGUGCAAGCGUUGUCCGGAUUUAUUGGGUUUAAAGGGUGCGUAGGCGGGUCUUUAAGUCCGUGGUGAAAGCCCAUCGCUCAACGAUGGAACUGCCAUGGAUACUGGAGGCCUUGAAUUCAGUUGAGGUAGGCGGAAUUGAUGGUGUAGCGGUGAAAUGCAUAGAUACCAUCAGGAACACCGAUUGCGAAGGCAGCUUACUGGGCUUGAAUUGACGCUGAGGCACGAAAGCGUGGGGAGCGAACAGGAUUAGAUACCCUGGUAGUCCACGCUGUAAACGAUGCAUACUAGGUGUUGGCCUUUCGGGGCCAGUGCUGCAGUUAACGCAUUAAGUAUGCCACCUGGGGAGUACGUCGGCAACGAUGAAACUCAAAGGAAUUGACGGGG